ACCUUAGAGUUUGAAUCCUGUUAGAGUUUGGAAUCUGGCUCAGAUUGAUCGCUGGCGGCAGUCCUAACACAUGCAAGUCGAGCGGAUGAAGGGAGCUUGCUCCUGGAUUCAGCGGCGGACGGGUGAGUAAUGCCUAGGAAUCUGCCUGGUAGUGGGGGACAACGUUUCGAAAGGAACGCUAAUACCGCAUACGUCCUACGGGAGAAAGCAGGGGACCUUCGGGCCUUGCGCUAUCAGAUGAGCCUAGGUCGGAUUAGCUAGUUGGUGAGGUAAUGGCUCACCAAGGCGACGAUCCGUAACUGGUCUGAGAGGAUGAUCAGUCACACUGGAACUGAGACACGGUCCAGACUCCUACGGGAGGCAGCAGUGGGGAAUAUUGGACAAUGGGCGAAAGCCUGAUCCAGCCAUGCCGCGUGUGUGAAGAAGGUCUUCGGAUUGUAAAGCACUUUAAGUUGGGAGGAAGGGUUGUAGAUUAAUACUCUGCAAUUUUGACGUUCCCGACAGAAUAAGCACCGGCUAACUCUGUGCCAGCAGCCGCGGUAAUACAGAGGGUGCAAGCGUUAAUCGGAAUUACUGGGCGUAAAGCGCGCGUAGGUGGUUCGUUAAGUUGGAUGUGAAAUCCCCGGGUUCAACCUGGGAACUGCAUCCAAAACUGGCGAGCUAGAGUAUGGUAGAGGGUGGUGGAAUUUCCUGUGUAGCGGUGAAAUGCGUAGAUAUAGGAAGGAACACCAGUGGCGAAGGCGACCUCCUGGACUGAUACUGCCACUGAGGUGCGAAAGCGUGGGGAGCAACCAGGAUUAGAUACCCUGGUAGUCCACGCCGUAAACGAUGUCAACUAGCCGUUGGGAGCCUUGAGCUCUUAGUGGCGCAGCUAACGCAUUAAGUGACCGCCUGGUAUACCUCCAAAUAAGUUUUAGCGCCUUAAU
rnacentral:rRNA from 1 species